GUUUAUAGUUGAAAGUGAUACAGCUGAUUUCCUUGAGCGGCCGCUGUCCUCUGAAAUGGUUAUCUUUUACAUCACUCAGGAUACACAAAGGCAUCCGCUACUCUCUGAAUUAAAAUCAGGUGGUUUUCGGGUUACUGGGAAAAUGUCAACUCUGUGCUCUCUUUCAGAUCCCAUCACCGGUGAAUUAAUAGUUGAAACAUCUGCAGUCCCCAUUAAUUCAAUUGACAUUCACUUGUGCCGUGUGGAAUCUGUUAUUCUUGGAGAGAGAAUCAUAACUGAAACCUCCGUG
rnacentral:misc_RNA from 1 species